UGCACUCACUACUGUACGUCGCUUUGGAUAAUAGCGUCUGCUAAAUACCAAAAG
rfam:Salmo salar isolate Sally breed double haploid chromosome ssa20, whole genome shotgun sequence.